CCCAGUUUUUAUUUUGGUGGAAGAACCCUCAUGUAGACCUCAAAGGUGUUUUGACCUGAGCAGAUGACAGCUCUGGCUCACAGAGCAGCCUUGCAGGGGCUGUGGGGGCCAGGAAAGAGGGGUUCAUCCUAGACCAAAGCCAGAGUGCUUCUCCUUUCCAGCCCAAAAGCACACUGUGGGGUGAGGCCACAUGCUGGGGACUCAUCUCUGUGCAAAAAGAAGAUUCAACACCCACAGGAAAGGGUGUCUAACACACCAUCCCAGCAUUUGACCCACCCAGGAAGGCUGUGGCUGUUGUACCAUCCUGUGAACCUCGGCAUUGCUCUUGUAAAGCCCUGAACUUGCUGCUUCUUCUGGUGCGGGAGGAUGCAAAGUACUUUCUAUAUCCCAAUGCAGAUGGCUGAGACUUAAUGAACCAGGAAAGCUGGAGCUCCAGAAGGUUGUGCUGAGAAGAUGCUGGUACACAGUUUGGGGAUGCUCACCAUUGUUGAAAACCCACCCAGG